GACGAACGCUGGCGGCGUGCUUAACACAUGCAAGUCGAACGGUAAGGCCCUCCGGGGUACACGAGUGGCGAACGGGUGAGUAACACGUGGGUGAUCCGCCCUGCACUUCGGGAUAAGCCUGGGAAACUGGGUCUAAUACCGGAUAGGACCACUGCCUGCAUGGGUGGUGGUGGAAAGCUUUUGCGGUGUGGGAUGGGCCCGCGGCCUAUCAGCUUGUUGGUGGGGUGAUGGCCUACCAAGGCGACGACGGGUAGCCGGCCUGAGAGGGUGACCGGCCACACUGGGACUGAGAUACGGCCCAGACUCCUACGGGAGGCAGCAGUGGGGAAUAUUGCACAAUGGGCGCAAGCCUGAUGCAGCGACGCCGCGUGAGGGAUGACGGCCUUCGGGUUGUAAACCUCUUUCAGCACCGACGAAGCGCAAGUGACGGUAGGUGCAGAAGAAGGACCGGCCAACUACGUGCCAGCCGCCGCAGUAA
rnacentral:rRNA from 1 species